rnacentral:rRNA from 1 species
AGUGAACGCUGGCGGUAGGCCUAACACAUGCAAGUCGAACGGCAGCACAGUAAGAGCUUGCUCUUACGGGUGGCGAGUGGCGGAUGGGUGAGGAAUACAUCGGAAUCUACUUAUUCGUGGGGGACAACGUAGGGAAACUUACGCUAAUACCGCAUACGACCUACGGGUGAAAGCAGUGGAUCUUCGGACCUUGCGCGAUUGAAUGAGCCGAUGUCGGAUUAGCUAGUUGGCGGGGUAAAGGCCCACCAAGGCGACGAUCCGUAGCUGGUCUGAGAGGAUGAUCAGCCACACUGGAACUGAGACACGGUCCAGACUCCUACGGGAGGCAGCAGUGGGGAAUAUUGGGCAAUGGGCGCAAGCCUGAUCCAGCCAUACCGCGUGAGUGAAGAAGGCCUUCGGGUUGUAAAGCCCUUUUGUUGGGAAAGAAAAGCAGCAUGUUAAUACCCCGCUGUUCUGACGGUACCCAAAGAAUAAGCACCGGCUAACUUCGUG